rnacentral:rRNA from 1 species
AUGUGUGUCGACUCUACCUUGCAGCAAAUUGAAGGCGUAAUGCACUUUUUUGAUAAGUACAGAGAUGAAGGAUUUGCAUCUUGUUUGACUAUCGCCAAAGGUGUAGCAAUUGACAUGGGCAUAGAACCAUCAUUUCCAAUAAAACCUAAUGUUACUAGGAAGAAACAAUUUGAUGAACCAGAUAACAAAGAAAAAGUUCUAAAAGCUGGGAAGGCGUUCGAAGUUAAUUAUUUCUUAGUUGUGGUUGAUAUUGCAAAGGUCUCUUUGAAAUCUAGAUUCAAAGAACUCAAAGUGUUCAAAAGUAUAUUUGGCUUCUUACUUAGCUCAAAAGACAUGAAGUUAUUGGAUGAUGUUGAACUACGCAAAUGUUGUGCUAAGUUCGUAGAAACAUUUUCACAAAAUGGUUCAUGCGAUGUUGAGUUAGAUGAUCUUUUUUCUGAAUUAAGACUGCUGCAAAUGACUUUACCAGAAUCAGAUUUGCCAUUGCAUGCUAUGGAGAUUUUUGAGUUUGUUAGAGAUAUUGACUGUUUUCCAAAUGUUUUAAUUGCUUAUCGAAUUUUGUUCACUGUACCAAUGACUGUAGCAUCAGCAGAACAUAGCUUUUCGAAGUUGAAAUUGUUAAAGAACUAUUUGAGGUCAACAAUGUCGCAAGAACGAUUAAAUGGUCUCGCUACUUUAUGUAUUGAGAAAGAUAAGUUGGAUGAAAUAAAUGUUGAUGCAAUAAUCGAUGACUUUGCUUCUAGAAGUGUUAGACGAAUUUCCAAGUUCUAG